CACAAGGACUUGUAGCAGUUCAAGUUAGAGCAGUGUGAUUGCGUGCGUGAGCUAUUUUAUAACAUGGAAAAGCGAAGGUCAGCCAGAGAGGAGACACAACUGAUCUCAGGGCUCCUCCCAGCACAUGGGAAACCUGGGCAAGAUGGUGCCCUCACCUGGGUUGGGGUCAUAGUUGGAAACUUUCCAGCCCAUGGGCAGACCUAAUCCCAUUGCAGACAAUGGAGUUUUCUCAUCUGUUUUUAAGCGAAGCAGUUGCCAUUGUAAAACAACUAAAUUCAUCAGGUUAGGACAUGAAAUAAUGCCAGGUUUCUCUUGAACAUAAGAUUGAUCUUUCCCUGUCCCCAUCAUGCGACACUCAGCUUUGGGCAUUGGUGACUCUGUACCCUUAGAUCCUCUUGUCUCAGAUGCUAACCAGCCUCCCUGCCACACACGAUUCUCUGGCUGGUUUCUCACAUGCCUCACACUCACAGGGCCUGCCUAGCUCUGCAGAGACUCCAAGGUGUGGCCCUGGAUCGUGAUCACUCUAAGAGCCCUUCCAUAGAUGAUGGACUCGAGAUACCCUGCCCCCCAUGCUGCUGUCGUCCAUUCCGCUUCUGCCUAUGUCGGGUGCCUGCUCAUCUAUUCUGUGAGCCAGACUCUGUAGAUGGGGCAGGGAUCAGGGCUGUCAGAGCCUCUGAGAGGAGCUGGCUGGCGAAUCCCCUCCUGUGUGCCCUUAAGUUCUCAGCGUUUUGCAGUUUUGUGUCUGGUGUUGGGUGGAGCCUGCGGCACAUAGACUUUGCUGGUGUCAGUGUCGUUGUGUCUGGGAGGCCAGCAUGGCCUUGGAGCAGCCUGCUAUCCCCACAAAUCUGAGAGUGGAGAAGCAGCAGGCCCAGUGCCCACUUUUAGCCAAUUUCCUUCCUUGACAACGAAGCCUGCCUCACCCAGCACUGAGGCUGAAAGUGGGACAGUGGGAAGCGGGCCUUUCUUCUCAGCUUUAGGUUCUGUGCCAGUGCGGCACAUGGGAGUCCCCACCUCCAAAUAGGGAGCAGAAAGAUAGCCUUUCUCACCCACCCUUGAGGAGGCCACCUUUUCUGUGCUCUCCUGGCAUUUCUGACCUGCAGAAGUUUGCUCUGACCCUGGGGGAGGUGGUGCCCCUAAGGAAGGGACUCCAAGAGUUCCCUGAGGACAUGGGCAGCACAUCACGAGGCUUCAGUGAUUUGCAGGGCUGCCACUUAACACUAUCAUUAAAAUGCAUCUUCUCUGUGAAACUCACCCCUUGGAGGCUGCGGUGCCCAUGGGAGGGACAGAUGGGGGGAGACAGAAUAAAGGAGGUCACCACAUAGACCCCCACAUGGAGGUUCAGCAGAAGUGGGGGUUUCUCCACCCACUGUCACUUUUACUCCAAACGUUGUUAAAUAUAGUUUCUGCUGAGAUGAGAAGAGCCAUGUUCUCCCAGAGAGCAAUUAAGUUUAGCCCAGGGUCACGGUGGGCUGCCAUGUGCUCUUCCAGGCCCCACUUGAGCCCACGCGGAGGCUUUUUUGCUUCAAAAGAUGUUACUGACGCAUACAACUCAGAACGUUUCAUCUUGAGUCGGGGGGUGGGUCUUCAAGGGCCCUGUAGGUUCCACAGUCCACAUGGCCCCAAGUGGAGAGGGUUUAAAAGUAAGGGUUUAAGCUGGCCUUUGGGGUCAAAAGGACCAUGGCUUGCUUUGCUGGGCUCUGUCCUUCUGUAGCCCUCUAAUCUCCAUUGUCUGUCCAGGUAGCUCCUGUCUGACCCAGGGCCAGAGGCAGCCUCUGUCCUUGGAUCUCUAUUUAGUCAGGAGGCACUGAGCAACGCCUGAGGUUGUUAGCCUACACCCAACCCUCCUGAGCCACUGUGUUGUGAGGCUCCUCUUUCUCUUUCCUCCUUCCCGGUUGCUCAUUUUGCCUUUGCAGAUGCUGAUGGCAAACAAAGGGGAUGCCUUCAAAUAAAAUAACCCUGGUGUUCACUGCUUAGGAUGUACCCCAGGAGCUGUAAGAACCACACUCUAGAAGCAUGGGUCUGUGUGCUUACAGCCUCCCUAGCCAGUAGGCAUGGCACACACCGGCUGCAGUGCUGGUGGUAUUGGCUGGGCUCCUCUCUGCCUGAGGCAUUCAUUAGCUCUGGGCUGUUGCUAUGUCAUUCUAGUCCAAGCUAGUAUUGUCUGGUCACUGCGCUGGCCACUGUGAGCUGCUGUAACAGUGAAUGGGAAGCAGAGGAUAUUCUGAGAACAGGUUCUUGCUGGGGCAAUCUUCACGUUUGACUUUGGAAUUGAAUCAUGAAGACCGCUCUCACUUAGGGAUUUGGAGCAUCCUUCCAGAUGCAGGUUCCCAGGACUCUAAUGAGAACAACUUGGGAGUCACUGGGGUGGUGGAGGUGCCCAAAGAAAGAGGGAGGAACAGAAAGCAGUGAUGGCCAAUGUUGGGCCCUGGGACAGGAUAGAGUGUUGUUGCACCGGCCAGGCAGAGGGGAAGCUGGGAAGAAACUGUCAGGGUUGGAGGGGGUGUUUCCAGAGUUUCUCCUUUGUUUGAACAAGCUGUGAAACAUACAGUCUCAGAGCAUCAAGAGUAGCAAGCUGUCCAUUCCCAGGCUGCCAGGCUGGCAGAGGCCCCACAGAGCAGGUGGCAUGGCACAGCUGUGGUGGCGUCCCUGCCACAUCAAUGGGAGAAUGUCCUAAGUCAGCCAUCAGGGUCAACAUAGGGGAGCAGGGAAACUCCAAGGGAUUAGGCCAGCUUGCUUUAGGGCAGGGCCUUUCCCAACUGGCAGACGUGGGAAGCCCUCAUUCUUCAGUGAAUAGUGUAUACAGAAACAGGACCCUUUGGCUAUGGUGCCAUGGUGCCAUGUUGCCAUGUCUGAGUGGGCUCGUUGGACCUUGCAAAGCUCAGACAGAUGUUGGAAACCAUGCGUUCUUCACCCUGCCAGACGCCAGAGCUGGGCCGCGCUUCUUCCCUUCCCACCGGGUCGUUAAGACCCAUUUGUUUCCUUGUGUUGUGUUGCUGAUCCUUCCUCAGGUGAAAAAAUGAGUGUGAGAAUGAAGUAACAAGGCGUGCAGCUGGGGCGUGGGGGCUGGGAGCACAGGGGAGGGCGGGCUGCAGAAAACUUUUAUGCUUCUCUUACUAGUUCACCAUUGCCAAGUUCAGGGGUUCGAUUAGGGGUCCUCUUGCCCAAGUCAGAAUAAAGCCUGGUGCAGAGGCACGUAGCUGCUGCUCUCCACUUCCUGGGGAAGUUCCCUGGGUACAAGCUGUGCCUGCUACAGCCCCUCCAAACGAUGCCCACAGGAGCUGCCUGGCACUCUCCUAGGUCCUACCACAGCCCACAAUUUGGGGCUUACUUGAAGUGCAGGUUUCAGAAGGCCUGGAAAAUGAGGCUCAGGAAGAUGCAGCGAGGAGCUUGGGGCCUGGCAUUACUGUGGAGCCAUGGCCUCUGAUGUCUGCUCUACACUGCACCGACCUGCUGUCCCUAGCUGGCUUGCUUGGGAGCCACAGCCCUUCUGUGUCCCUUGUGUGUCCAGUAUGCCCAAGGUAUGCUAAAUGGCCUUAGAACACUGAGACCUGUGUCCCACCAUCUCAGCAGUGUAGCUCAGUGGUAUACUCCUGGGGAGGAGGAGCAAAACGGCUUGGGUCUCUCUUGUUCACACUUGGGAGCUGCUGCAACGGGGCUGCAGAUGCUCACCCAGCUGUCCUGGGAAGAGUGGCUGAGCAUACAGCACAGCAGGAAGCAGCCAUCCUGUUGCCACUUGGACAGCCAUUUGGCACCUUUUCCUCUCAAGGGCUCAGGAGUGGCAUCUGUGGAGAUGGAGGGCUUUAGGCCAAGUGUUGCCUGAGGCUGUGUCCUACCUGGUAGCCUGGUGACUGUGGACUUGCCCCUCUGCAGCCUUUGUGCCGCUAUCUCCCCUGCUGCAGACAGUGUUGGCAGUCGGCACGCCAAGGUGGAGCUGCACAAGAACCACAAAGCUGCAAUUGUGACAGCUGCUGGUGUCACUCAUGGGGGUGUGCAGAAUUCCUGAGCUCCUUAGAAACAGGGCAGAGAGGGUGUGGCGUUGAGAUGUCAGUCAAGCGUGUUCACUACAGACCGUGGUGGUGGAACUCCAGCUGUGAGUGCACAGAGCUACGGCUGCAUGUUAGGCCUUCAGAGCUGUGUGGCCUGGCUCACUCUCUGCCUCAGUGUCCUUACCUGUAAAACGGGGCUCAGAGUCACAAAGACCUCAGAGGCUUGAAAAUAUUAAAAGAAAUGCCACCAAGCGUGUGCCUUUGCAGGGUCCUGUUCUGAUGCAGUCACAGCCUGGCUUCUGUGUUCAGAGUCUCACUUUGGUCCCCAAAGGAUAUGGCUUGGCAGCACAGAUAUUAGUACAACUGCUGCCCCACUUCGUGGCUUUUAUUUUAAAUACUGGAGCCUCAGAGAAUCCGGUUUGGAGGAAGGGAAGCGGAUUAGGUCGUCUUUGGCACAAUACCCGCCAUCCAAUUUAGGGUUGGUGAAAAAAACCACAAUCCCUGUAAUAGUGGAGGUGUGGGAACAGCACAUGGGGCGCUCAGGUGACUCGAUUCACCAUGGUGCCACCCCAUCCUGGUGUUAGCUUUUCUAUCUGUGAGUCAGGUAGUCACACAGCACACAGCCUUCCCUCCCAACUUUAAAAUGUGCUGUCUAGAGUGACCAUGAGUGGUUACCAGUGAGAUACCUACUGCCUUGAUGCUGCUUUGCAGAAAACAUCAGUCCUGGGUCUUUGGUGGUCCCAAGUCCGAGCACUGCUCCCACUGCAGAUGGCAGGCUAUGAGGCCCUGGAGUUGACUGGACUCUUGGUGGGGCCUCAGGUGCCUCUCCUUGUAUCAUAUCUAGGGCAAAGGGGGAGGGUCACUCAGUCCACACCAACUCACAGGUUGAACAGGGGUGAUGUGGGAGGAAGGGGCCAGUACACCGUGCACUGGGGCCAGGGAUCCCUUCUGACAGGUUGUGUGAGGAACUUGGAACACCCUCAUAUUGCAUUCUGUCCCUCCUGGCAUAUGUAGAAUGUCCACACAGCCUGGCUUGCCAUCCCUGGCAGAGUCACCAACUCCAUCAGAGUUAGACGUGUCUCAAAGCUCCACGGAGGGGCCUUCACUUACCUCCAGCCUGAGUGCCCAAGUCAGCCACGGUAAGGGGCAGGCUCAGGCUGCAGCUGGUGGGCUAAGUCAGCUAGCUGUCCAGACUGUUCCUCCUGCAGAACUCUCUCUAAGCCCAGGAGGGAAAGAAGUUGAUGGUGGCUAGGGUUCUGAUGGUAUGUCCUGACACUCGGCUGGAAAGAGUUGACAAGGGAGAGUCAUGCAUGGACCACCUUUAGUAACUUGCUUUUCCUGGACUCCUAACUCUUACCCAAGAGGCCAAGUUUCACACCAGAGCCCUGACUGAACACAAUGGAAAUGGUGUCAUAGAAAUGGUCUUGGGACAGUCAUCGAUUCUUUCAAUUUCUUCAGCCAGCCACGAGGUGGGUUCCACUCACCCUCUAGUAACUCUGGGAUUACCCAUAAUGGCUUGUUUCCUCCAGUCACCCCUCAGCACAGGUGUGGAAAUGGGCAACCUGUUGGACGUGACUUGGCAGAGUCCAUAGCUAGGCAGCUGCAGGCCUGGACUUCAGUGAUGUAAGACUCCACUGCUCAGGUCCUUCCCUGCCAUUAGAGAAUGGAAUGGCAGUCAGGCCAUGGAGUGUGCUGGAUGAGAAAGAGGCAGCCACAGCCCAUCUAGGGGCAGCCUUGGAAUGAUGGCCGAUGUUUCUCACCCAUGCAGACUGUGGUCAGCAGGGAGGGAGCCCAGAUCCCCAGCCAGGUCUCUUCAUUGCCUCCUGUAGUUUUCACACCAUGUGUUGCUGCUGGACCACCACAAUGAGAAAGGGACUGGUGACAAGUCACUUCUGAGAGGGGCCUGAACCACAGGAACAAGCUGGAAUAGUUACUGUCUGACAGUGAAGGGCUGCUGUGGUCCUCUCUCGGGACUCUGAUUUUUGGGAUCAGCCUCCCUCAGUCUCAGUACGUAGACAUGAGGCCAUGGUGGGCUCAGGUCCUUAGUUUGUCUUUGUGUUCUUACAAUCCUUGUGUGUGCUCCCACAACACCGAGAUGCUAACAUGACUGCACAGGGUUGCAACAUUGGAGCCAUGAGGAUGGAAAGCACACAGUAGGUGCCUAAUCAUGCAAUCCAUGUUUCCUUUUAGUCCCAUGAAGGAUACAGUAAGGGGGAUAUGAACACUAGAUGGAUGGAUUGGUAAUUAUAAACAAGAGAGAAAACUUUUUUCCCAUUGCCCACAGGACUGCUGUGAUUCAAACUGUUGUUUUGACUAAAAAGUGAACAAAACAUGAUGAGGAAAUUAGAGAUGUCUAAGUAGUUACCUUACUUGCUUUAAAAAAAAAAAAAACAAGGGAAACUUUACACAUACGCAGUUAUAGAGUCAAAGGGUUCAAAUUAGUCCUAGAACUCAAAGGAGAAUCAGGCUUAUUUAGCUUGUCCUAGGAUCUGUCAGUGUAGUAGCCCAGGCUGGCCAGGAGCACAGCCCAGAGUAGUGGCUGCCCUCCGCCAAGUGCAGGGUGUACACCUGAUGCUUGCCAGGCAUGCUGACAGUGCUAGAACAAGUCCCCACCUAUGGCUAGGGACACAUUGAGCCUAGGGGCAGGGGGUCAUGCGUACCAGCUGGUGCUUACUUCAGAGACAAGUGGGAACAAGCCUGGUGUGGACGUGUUACUGUGGGUAGAGAAGCCCUCAAAGGUAAUGGGAUAUGGUGUAGAUCCUACAUAUCCCUCAUGGACAGAUCCAGGCAGAGAAAACCACAGGUGCAAAGACGAUCGGUGCAUGGUAGUCAGAAGUGCGAGGAAACCCUGUGGUGUAGGGAAUGGCUGGGCCAUCCUGGAGGAGGAGUUUGAUCAUCCAAGGGUGAAGCAAGGUGACUCUGGGGAGGUGAGAGGGAUGGGAGCAGCUUCUAGCCCCUGGUGUGUUUGGAAUGAAGUACUGGUGAAGUGUGGAUGAGAGAGUGGUGACAUCGCUGGCGUGAGGGAUUAGAAGCACAGAGUUGCCAUUUAGUAAAUGAUGACUCAGAAGUGCAAGGAAUGGGCUUUGUGAGGCCUUUGGACACUCACUCAUGCUGGGCAGAUAGUGCAUCCAGAACCCAAGAACAGAGGCUUACAAAGCAUAAACUGAAGAGCUGCCCGUGGGCAGGCACCUGAGUUAGGUUAGGUCAUGGAGGACAGAGGAGCUUAUGGGAGAGGACUUGUGGCUGUAACUGGGAGAUGUCAAUAGGUGGAGAGGGGCUCAUGAAGGAGGUGUAUGGAGCACACUCCCAAGUGAUAGGUCCUAGAAACCGAGGGACACAGCCCAGCGGGGAAGGAAAGCACAGUGUUUGGAAUUUUCCAGACUAGAGCAUCCCCUGCCUCCCUGCCGGUGAGAAUGGCUGCUACAUGGGAAACAGGUGGCCCUGGCUCACACACCUGCCGGCUGGGAGGGGUCUGCCCUCUGAUGCUAGAGUGGGCUCUGAGUGGUGCCUCCGCUGCCUGCCAAGCCAGCGCGGCCCAGAGUGUCUAGAUACUGGAAGUAUGGCUUAUUAGAUGGGCUGGUGCAGCCUCAAGCCCAGCCAGAGGCUCACCUCAUCCCCUGUUACCUUUGUCCACUGUCUUCAGCCUAAGCUGGUCCCCAUCUUGAUUUUUAGGACUGAACCCUUGACUGGUGAAGCCAGUGGCAACAUCAAUGCAGUUAGGUGUUGCCACAAACAGAAGUCUUCCCUGGGGCCAUUUUCUGCCUUUAUAACUCAAGGUCUCAAAGGCUUCAUCCUAAGUAUAGCCAACUGUGGGUAGGGGGCAUAGAAAACACGGCCUGGCAGGGUUUGCACUGUGCUUGAGAAGCAGCUGCUGGAAAGAUGGUCCUGAGGGUUGGGCCAACAGGGCACAGGAGGUGGGGCAUUUCUAAACAAGUUGCCUAGAUGCUCUGACACUCAUGCGGCCUCUCCCCUGCACCUCAGACCUCUUCACUGUUGGUGGGUCUGCACAGGGAAUGGCAGGAAAGGCAGCAUCUUUGUUGGAUGAGUGACAUGUCCCCUGCUGACUGACAGGCAGGCUGAUGUGACGAUGGCCAUAGCUCAGCUGGACUCUAAGUGCCCAGAGGUUUGUCCCUUUUGAUAUAAAUGGAGACCAGUGUGUUAGGUGCCAUCGCAGUGACCUCCAAGCCUGCCGGUUGAGUCGAUGGCAGUGAUUGUGCCAGUGGAGCAGGGAGGCUCUGAAGGCCAGGCACUGUUGCUUAUAAACAUCUAUGGCACUGGUACUGGUACUGUACUCCUUUAAAAUGGCCCCUGAGACUCCUGUGCUCCUAGUCCCACCUGCUGUGUCCUUUGCCUGGGGCAGUCCCUGCUGCAGGGCUUCAUCCUCUUCCGCAGCCCUGUAGAUCGGGGAUGAUAGCAGAAGCCCCUGUCCCAGUAGGAGCAGAAUCUGUGCCCGUGCUCCCAGGUCUGUGAGGAGCAGAAUCUGUGCCCGUGCUUCCAGGUCUGAGCCACUGCAGAGUAAGAGCCACUGCAGCCAUUAGCACCCCCCUUGCACACACACAAUUACAGGUAAGGGCACUGAUGUGUCUGCCUGUGUCUUAGGCAUACAGGAAGGCCUUGCUUUGUUUGCCCUGUGUGGGGAGCUGUGGAUGGGAGCCAGGCCACAGGCAUAUUGCUGCCUUUGUGCACACAUGAGGCAAGUGCUCUGUCCUCGUGCUACGCCACUGAAUGCACUCGUGGAUCAGGAAGUACUGAGCCAUUUCUGUCAGGUUUAUAACCAGAGCCCCUGCUCUGGGAGCUGAAGAUGUGAGGCCUGGCCACUCACCUCAAAGGAGAAAGAAGAAAGUAAUGAGUAAAAGGCAGGGUCAGGAUUUUAGCCACAGUUGACACGUGUAAGCAUUGGCAGCUGCUGGGACACUGGUAUGACUAUGCAGGGACGCCACAGGACAGAGGCAGAGGCUGAGCUUGUUAAGCAGUGCUGGGCAAGGUGUGGCCUGGGUGACCACUAGCCACUUCUGGUUCUAUAAAGGUGCCCCAGGAAGGUCCAACUCCCCGAGAUGAUUGAUCCCGCUGUGUCUCGGGGGGUGGGGGCUGUUCCUAAGAUGGAGGGGCUGUAGUUUGGGGACAGUGGCUGAAGACUUUGGCACACUUCCUUGGAGAUCUGAAAUAGGAUGUAAAAGCAGACUAAUCUCUGUGCCCUUGGCCUAGAAGAGGGUAGGCUAGGUUAGCUGUCCCUGGUUUGAAGACACUCCCUGUGUGCCUCCUGCGGCUUAGCACAAACAGAUAUAGAAUGAAGGCAGAGCUGUAUUCAGAGAACAGAUGGUGCCUACUGGGGUGACACAUGUACUGGGAAUAUAGAGGCAGGCGGAUCUGUGAGUUUGGAGCUAGCCUGAUCUACAUCGUGAGUUCAGACUAGACAAGGCUACAGAGUGAGACCUUGUCUCAAAAAAAAAAAAACCCCACAAAAAAACAAAACAACAACAACAAAACCCAAACCCCCUGUAGUUUCCAAGAGCCUGAUUACUCUGUAGUCUCUGGCAUUCCCUGUGCAGCCUAGGGAAGGGUAAUAUCCAGUGAUCCCACCAGACAAAGGGCAGAGGUCAGUGUAGUCCCACAAAAGCAAGGCCAUCUUGGAGUCAUCUUGGACAUAUCAUAGCAUUCUGCCCUCACUGUCUUCAAGAGAGAGGUGAGCCUUUUGCCCCUGCACAUUCUGUCUGGAUGUAGCAUUUGUCACCCAGCUGUAAUGUCUGGAGGACAUGUAUUGGAGACAGGACUCCUGCAAGCAUGAGAACACAACCAUGUUGGAAGUUUACAGUGGCCUGUGUCACAGUGACCACUGGUUGGUUCCCCUGCCCUUGAGUGCACUGUCUUCUCUGCUUGACACCCUUCCAUGACUCCUGAGAGUCCUCUACCUUCCAAGGCCAUGCCCUUGGGGACAACACUGGUGUCCUCCUUCUGGACCUCUUCACGGGCAGUUUCCUCUUGGGCUACAUACAGUAACUCUGCCAGAGCCCCUCAUGAAAGGAACAAUUUAAGGAGCCCAUUUGGUUUUAACUCAGAAGGAACCUAUUAUGGUCAGGGUCAAAACACAGCAUGGCAGGGUGCUCUGGUAGGGCAGGAGAACCCUUCCUGGCUGUCAGGCACACUUGCAGUGAACCUCACCUCCAGAUUCACCCAGACACCAUCCUGAUCUCCAUGAAGCACCUCAGAGAAGUUCAGUGAUGUAUCGCUAGCGUGAGAAGGGGAAGGCAGCAUGGUGCACAUUUUCCAUUUGUAGAAUUAACAAGCAAAGCAGUAAGUUACACACACACACACACACACACACACACACACUCACACACAUACACACACUCACACACACACAGCGCACGCACACACACACACACACACACACACACACACUGUACAGUAGGUAGCUCAAGAAAGGUAUAUCAGAACUAAAGAGGGUUGUUCCCUGGACGCCAGGGCUGGUGGGGCAUACACAUGUCACUUGUGCUUUUCUGUUUAAAUUUGCUCCACUUUCUGUGUUACCUAUUCCAGGAAGUAAUGAAAUAAGAUUCCACAUUUCAAAAGGCUUGAGGCUGAAAAGCAGAGCUAGUGAAGACAGAGGGAGCAGUCUCUUGGCCACAUCUCCUUUGCCUUCCAAGAAAGGUGCAGAGGUCUUUUUUAUGGGCCUCCUUCUUCUGUCUGAACAUCCUUGUUCUAAUAGCCUCUUUCUGGGAGGAAGCCUGGGAAGGAGGAAGCUGAAGUCCUCACAACAUUUAACUGGAAAUGAACCCUGAGGUGAGCCAUACAGGCACCGAGCGAGGUGGCCUUGCCCUUCUCUAAGAGUUUCCUCCACUGAGCUCUGGCUUCCAGCUGCCCUGAGCUUUGUUGUGAGGUGAGGCCUGUUCUGGAAUGAGGCGUGGCAUACAGCUGCUAAGAAGGCACUCUGUAGAACACUCUGUCCCCCUAGCUUGACUUGCAUGCCUCCUCUAGAGACAGUCCGAAGUCAAGUCCCAAAAUUCACUGUUUGCCAGCCCACCAGAAACCCACCUUACCCUCAGUGAUCAGUGGAUUCGUUCAUGUAUUGAUUGGUGCUUCGAUUCCUCUGCUUCCUGAUUUCCGCCCUGGACUUUCCAGAAAGCUCUAAAUGAGUCUUGCAGCUCAACUCGAACACGGUUUGAAGUUUGGUGACUCUAGAGCAUACAUGGGCUGAGAACCACUUUUGUGAGCCCAGAACAGACCCCAAGUGUAUCCACUCAGCAUCCUUCUGUGUGAUGCAGGCUGCUGCUUGUAAGUCUGUUCUCACCUCCCACCUGACAGGGCGCCCCAGGUCUGAGUGAGACAACUCAGGGCAGUAACAAGGUCUCUUCCCUCACCAGCAGCUGAAUAGCACAUGGGCUCUGGGGUUGCCGUCUUCCUAGCUGGAUGAUGGAGACCUGCCGCCAACCCUUGGGAGGGAGAGCGAGCGGGCGAGCUGGAGGCUGGACUUUGUUGAUGUGGUUGCUGUUCUGCGGGUCACUCGGUCUGUGUCGUAGCUGCUCAUCUGUGCUGAUACCAUCAGAAUAAAACCGUUAGGGAAGUAUUCGGCUGUGGUCACUUUACCUGCAGUACACUAGCGCACUGGAAAGGAAGUCUUCCAGGCCGGGGGCAGGCAUGGGCUGCAAGAGUCUGAGCAGUUGUAUGGACACAGCCAUCACUGUCCUGAGAAGUCAUCCUCAAGGUGCCACUUGAGGAGGCAUAGGAAGUGCCCAGGGAGGGUGAGGGGACUCCAGGAUGGCUCCAGACACAUAAGGUCUGGUAGCAUUUAAGCAACCCCUGCCUGCCAUGGGAAGUGGAUUGGCCCAGGCUCACGCCCAGAGCCACAGCUGAAGCUGUGGAUUUGCUGUUAGACUUUGAGAACUCAGCUUUCAGGUUGAGUUAACAUUGAAGCCUUUGGAACUGAGGGACCAGGCACUGUUGUUGGGGACGGAACAUCACUGAGAGUCGCCCAUCUGAGGCUGGAAUUAGGACAGGUUAGCCAUGUUUCCCAGGCUGUCUUGAUCCUCCUGUUUUCUAUCCCCAAGUGUAGGGCUGCUAGGACAGCAGACAGACACCAGAGCACCCACAGCAGCAUUAGACUGUAGUGGAGGGCCCCAACCUCACACCUCUAGCCACUGUCCCCAUAGAGCCCCCUAUUACCUUUGGCCAGGGCUUCCUCACUAUGCUUUGCUACCCCUCAAGACCCUGCUGGAGUUGACACCAUGCUCAUUUUGACCACCCAUUUCAACAUGAGCACAUCCUCAAUGGCCUCUGCCUCCUCACUCUUUACAGAACUCGGUGGGAAAAGACUCUUGCCACAGCUUACAGAGUAUAGCUAAAGAGGAGAGAGCCCAGAAUCCACUCAGAGUAGGGCUGAGUCUGGGGAAAUGAACACAUUUCCCCCAUACUUUUAUGUACAUAGGAGGUUAUUUGCUUUGAAGACUAGCAUUAUUAGACUGGGUAAGGAGGAAGAGAAGCUUUGAGACUGUAUCCCACAUGCACUCCUCUUCCCCUGGGACCUGCAGGGCAUCCUGAGCAAUGGCUGAGAGGCUUAAGAAUACAUCUGUCCAUUGAACACACAUCUGUGCUCACCCUACAGCCUGAGCUCUGGGCCCACCCAUGUCAUGUGGCAGCCCCACCUACCCCAGGGUUGUGAACCACACCUUGGCCACCAAACACUGGCAAUGCCCUGAUUCUCCUCUUGGACGGACACCAGCGGGCGCAGGGGUUUCGGAGGAGGCAUGCUAUCUUUGGAUGAGGCCGUGUUAGAGAUGAAGGGAUGCCUGGCAGAGCACUUGGCUAGUGACAGCCUCAAAACAGGCUCGUGCAUGGCACCCAAAGCUAGCUCAGACAGCCUGGGUUAGUGGGCCUUCCAGGCUGCUUAAAAAGUGGGAAACGUUUACCUCAUGUCUUCCAGUCACACUGACCAAGUGGUGCUGGCCCUCCCUCUGGUCUCCACUGGUCUCACAUGUGACCCCAUUCCCUGCUGUGUCAUUCCCAUUUAAACUCUAACUUUAUCCAGAUCUCUUCCUGUCUUGCAG